rnacentral:rRNA from 1 species
GAUGAACGCUAGCGGCAGGCUUAACACAUGCAAGUCGAGGGGUAUAGGUUUUCGGACCUAGAGACCGGCGCACGGGUGCGUAACGCGUAUGCAAUCUACCUUUCACAGAGGGAUAGCCCAGAGAAAUUUGGAUUAAUACCUCAUAGUAUAACACAAUCGCAUGAUUGAGUUAUUAAAGUUACAACGGUGAAAGAUGAGCAUGCGUCCCAUUAGCUAGAUGGUAAGGUAACGGCUUACCAUGGCUACGAUGGGUAGGGGUCCUGAGAGGGAGCUCCCCCACACUGGUACUGAGACACGAACCAGACUCCUACGUGAGGCAGCAGUGAGGAUUAUUGGUCAAUGGACGCAAGUCUGAACCAGCCAUGCCGCGUGCAGGAUGACGGUCCUAUGGAUUGUAAACUGCUUUUGUACGAGAAGAAACAUUCCGACGUGUCGGAACUUGACGGUAUCGUAAGAAUAAGGAUCGGCUAACUCCGUGCCAGCAGCCGCGGUAA